rnacentral:rRNA from 1 species
GAACGCUGGCGGCGUGCUUAACACAUGCAAGUCGAACGGAAAGGCCCUGCUUUUGUGGGGUGCUCGAGUGGCGAACGGGUGAGUAACACGUGAGUAACCUGCCCUUGACUUUGGGAUAACUUCAGGAAACUGGGGCUAAUACCGGAUAGGAGCUCCUGCUGCAUGGUGGGGGUUGGAAAGUUUCGGCGGUUGGGGAUGGACUCGCGGCUUAUCAGCUUGUUGGUGGGGUAGUGGCUUACCAAGGCUUUGACGGGUAGCCGGCCUGAGAGGGUGACCGGCCACAUUGGGACUGAGAUACGGCCCAGACUCCUACGGGAGGCAGCAGUGGGGAAUAUUGCACAAUGGGCGGAAGCCUGAUGCAGCAACGCCGCGUGCGGGAUGACGGCCUUCGGGUUGUAAACCGCUUUCGCCUGUGACGAAGCGUGAGUGACGGUAAUGGGUAAAGAAGCACCGGCUAACUACGUGCCAGCAGCCGCGGUGAUACGUAGGGCGCGAGCGUUGUCCGGAUUUAUUGGGCGUAAAGGGCUCGUAGGUGGUUGAUCGCGUCGGAAGUGUAAUCUUGGGGCUUAACCCUGAGCGUGCUUUCGAUACGGGUUGACUUGAGGAAGGUAGGGGAGAAUGGAAUUCCUGGUGGAGCGGUGGAAUGCGCAGAUAUCAGGAGGAACACCAGUGGCGAAGGCGGUUCUCUGGGCCUUUCCUGACGCUGAGGAGCGAAAGCGUGGGGAGCGAACAGGCUUAGAUACCCUGGUAGUCCACGCUGUAAACGGUGGGUACUAGGUGUGGGGUCCAUUCCACGGAUUCCGUGCCGUAGCUAACGCUUUAGAGGUACCCCGCCUGGGGAGGUACGGCCGCAAGGCUA